GUGCCAGCAUCCGCGGWAAUACGAAGGGUGCAAGCGUUACUCGGAAUUACUGGGCGUAAAGCGUGCGUAGGUGGUCGUUUAAGUCCGUUGUGAAAGCCCUGGGCUCAACCUGGGAACUGCAGUGGAUWCUGSGCGACUAGAGUGUGGUAGAGGGUAGCGGAAUUCCUGGUGUAGCAGUGAAAUGCGUAGAGAUCAGGAGGAACAUCCAUGGCGAAGGCAGCUACCUGGACCAACACUGACACUGAGGCACGAAAGCGUGGGGAGCAAACAGGAUUAGAUACCCUGGUAGUCCACGCCCUAAACGAUGCGAACAGGAUGUUGGGUGCAAUUUGGCACGCAGUAUCGAAGCUAACGCGUUAAGUUCGCCGCCUGGGGAGUACKGUCGCAAGACUGAAACUCAAAKGAAUUGACGGGGGCCCGCACAAGCG
rnacentral:rRNA from 1 species